rnacentral:rRNA from 1 species
GACAGAGGCCUCGAGCGUUAGGCGGAAUCACUGGGCUUAAAGCGUGUGUAGGCGGGCCCGUAAGUGUCUUGUGAAAUCCCACGGCUCAACCGUGGAACUGCUGGGCAUACUGCGGGUCUGGGGCCAACUAGGGGCAGCCGGAACAAGCGGUGGAGCGGUGAAAUGCGUAGAUAUCGCUUGGAACGCCGAAGGUGAAAACAGGCUGCUGGGGUUGCGCCGACGCUGAGACACGAAAGCCAGGGGAGCAAACGGG